AUAAGGUAGAAUUUAUUUUGCCUGAACUUAAUGCCAAAUUGCAGCCACCUAUGGAGAAAUAUCAAUUGAAGUUGGAAGUGCUAAAAAAUGCAAACAUAAGAGCUAGAGGCACACCUCAUCUGAAAGAGGAGAAGCUAAUCAUGUUACUUCAUAAGUACAUGGAGAAAAUAGGAUGGGCUAUGAAAAAAUCAAAAGGAGUGUUACACUUUUUGCUCAAUGCAGUUGGGACGCUUUUCCCUUCCCCAAUUACUUGAGCCUUGAUCAAGAGGAUCGCACCAUGCACACCACACCCAGGGGAGUACUCAGUUUCCUUUGUUCUUUUAUGUUUCUAUUACAUUGAGGACAAUGCAUGAUUUAGGUGUGGGGGUGCAUAUUUCUGAAUUUUUACUUUUUGAAUUUAUUUUUGCUUUGAU
rnacentral:lncRNA from 1 species